AUGCUUGCUUCAGCAGCACAUAUUCUAAAAUUGAAAUGAUAGAAGAUCAGUGUGGCCCCUGUGUGAGGAUGACACACAAAUUUGUGAAGCAUUCCGUGAAAAA
rnacentral:snRNA from 1 species